rnacentral:rRNA from 1 species
GAAAAAAGACAAGGGCAGACGGUGGAUGCCUUGGCUCUCGGAAGCGAAGAAGGACGUGAUAAGCUGCGAAAAGCUACGGGUAUCGGCACAUACGAAUUGAUCCGUAGAUCUCCGAAUGGGGCAACCCGGCAUAUGGAAGAUAUGUCACUGUACAGAGUACAGAGCAGACGUGGGGAACUGAAACAUCUUAGUACCCAUAGGAAAAGAAAACAAAAGUGAUUCCCUUAGUAGUGGCGAGCGAACGGGGAAUAGCCCAAACCGGCUUUGUUUCGGCAAAGUCGGGGUAAUAGGAUCAGACGACAAAUUAUAUAAAGACUUUAGUAGAAUUGUGUUGGAAAGCACAGCCAGAGAGCGUGACAGCCGCGUAGACGAAAGGGUCGCUAUGUAAGAGUUUGACACCUGAGUAGCUCGGGACACGUGAAAUCCUGAGUGAAUUAGCGGGGCCCAUCCCGUAAGGCUAAAUAUACCCGAGAGACCGAUAGUGAACAAGUACCGUGAGGGAAAGGUGAAAAGGACCUCGAACAGAGGAGUGCAAUAGACCCUGAACCCGUCUGCCUACAAGCGGUAGGAGCAGCGUUGAGCUGUGACUGCGUGCCUUUUGCAUAAUGAACCUACGAGUUACUUUCUCUGGCAAGGUUAAGAGAUGCAGAGUCUCGCAGCCGAAGCGAAAGCGAGUCUGAAUAGGGCGGUUUAGUCAGAGGGAGUAGACGCGAAACCAAGUGAUCUACCCUUGGUCAGGUUGAAGGUUGGGUAAAACCAACUGGAGGACCGCACCGGUAAGCGUUGAAAAGCUUUCGGAUGAACUGAGGGUAGGGGUGAAAGGCUAAUCAAACUUGGAGAUAGCUCGUACUCCCCGAAAUGCAUUUAGGUGCAGCCUCAGGAGUUUCUUAUAAGAGGUAGAGCGACUGAUUGGAUGCGAGGCUUUCACCGGCUAUCAAGUCCAGACAAACUCCGAAUGCACGUUAAGUAAGAUCCACGGAGUGAGGGCAUGGGUGCUAAGGUCCAUGUCCGAGAGGAGAAGAAUCCAGACCAUCGGCUAAGGUCCCGAAAUAAUAGCUAAGUUGACCAAACGAAGUCAGAGUGCGAAGACAGCUAGGAUGUUGGCUUGGAAGCAGCCAUUCAUUUAAAGAGUGCGUAACAGCUCACUAGUCGAGUGCUUUGGCGUGGAUAAUAAUCGGGCAUAAGCUAUUUACCGAAGCUGUGGGAUGUGUAAACAUCGGUAGGGGAGCAUUCUAGCGGCGCUGAAGGUGAGAGGACAACUCUUGCUGGAGCUUCUAGAAAAGCAAAUGUAGGUAUAAGUAACGAUAAAGGAGGUGAGAAACCUCCUCGCCGAAAGACUAAGGUUUCCUGAUCAACGCUAAUCGGAUCAGGGUUAGUCGGGGCCUAAGGGGAAGCCGAACGGCGCACCCGAUGGAAGAACCGGUUAAUAUUCCGGUACUAAUUAUGUGAGCGAUGUGGAGACGGAGAUGUGACGGUCCUGCCAGCUGACGGAAUAGCUGGUUAAAGGGUGUAGGUGUUGAUCGGGGUAGGCAAAUCCGCCCUGAGAGCUGAACCUGACAGUACUCUGAGUGCUUGCACAAGGAGAUAUGGACAAAGUAACGGCGCUCCCAAGAAAAUCCGCUAAGCAUAUUGCAUGAUUACCCGUACCAUAAACCGACACAGGUGGUUGGGUUGAGUAUACUAAGGCGCUCGAGUGAUUCGCGGUUAAGGAACUAGGCAAAAUAGUCCUGUAACUUCGGGAAAAAGGACGCCUCUGAGCGAUCAGAGGUCGCAGAGAAAAGGCCCUGGCGACUGUUUAACAAAAACACAUGGCUAUGCGAAAUAGAAAUAUGCAGUAUAUAGCCUGACACCUGCCCGGUGCCGGAAGGUUAAGAGGAGAGGUCAUCCUUUUUUGGAGAAGCUUUGAAUUGAAGCCCCGGUAAACGGCGGCCGUAACUAUAACGGUCCUAAGGUAGCGAAAUUCCUUGUCGGGU